rnacentral:lncRNA from 1 species
UUGGAUGUACAUGAAUGUUUUUGUCUAGACAGUUGUGUUAUCGUACUCAUUGUCUAGAUCAAUGUAAACUGUGCGAGCAUUGAAAUGGUCUAUUUUAACUCCUCCUUUGAGUUUUAUUUGUGCUAUGAAGCAUCUCCUUAUCAAUUCCAUUCGAGGCAUUGUGUUAAGGACUUUCCCUACAAUUGUAUAUUGGCAUCUAGAUGCAAGUGUGAUCAUGUAGUCCUUCUUAGUGAAGAUGACAGUUGGUUGGCCCUGUUUGGUAGUUAUUUUUGGAGGUGUGAACUCUAUUGGAGCUAUUUCUGCUGCCUGCCUUGCUCUUAACUUUGUAGCAUGUGAUUGUGUUAUGGUUGGAGGUGAUGGGACAGGAUAGUUAGUUGGUUUAUAUGGCUGGGCAGUGUCUUCUGUUUGAUUUAGUGUGGCUGCUGAUUUAGAGUCGUAAAACUGGGUACUUUGGUGAACAUUUGCAGAUGGUUGGAAGGAGUGUGUAUGUUUUGGUAUAUGAAAACUGUCUAAGAUGUUUGGAUGUGUGUUUGCAGCUAAUGCAUUGAUUGUUUCGCUAUGAUGUUUGGUAUGUUGUGUAGUUUCUUUUAGUGCUAAGGUUGGAGUGUUGGUGUGAUGGUGCUUAGUCAUAGCUGUGUUUUUAUUCUGGAAAGCAGGUGCUUUGUCAAAGAUUGUGGAGAUCUUAGGAAAGUUUGAUGGAAUUGGCAUUUGAGUGAGUUGGGGAUUAGUUUGAAAAUUGAGAUUCCUAGAUAAAUAAGUCGGUGAUGUAUUAGACAAAUGUGUUGCAGAAACAUUACCCGAAUAUGCCAAGUUUGUUGUUGUAGGGAUUGGCUGAGCUUGAGCAGUAGGAGCUGGUGCAACUUCCUUCUCCUUAACAAUAGAAAGUUGCUCGGCUGACGUUAGGUCAGUUGAAAUACCAGGAACUCCAUGAACAGUCAGUGAAACAUUCAAAUUUUCCGCCAUUGGACGAGCAUCAAUGAUAUCAACUAGAGUUUGAAAUUGGACAUGCGGGUGACCUUCAGCAACAUAUGGAGGAUUUUUUCGACCAAUUGAGUCUCAAUUGGGUUUGUCGCGCUGGUUUGGACAUUUUGUCGAGCACCUUCUGUGGGCGGAUUAGCAGAGGUCGGUGUACCGAUUGUAAUGGAGUUUGACACAAUGAGGUGUUGUUUUUAUUGCUCAGCAAUCAUUCCAAAACCUACAGAUACCAUUUCAUAUUGAUUUUGUUCCAAUUGGACAUCUUGUUCAUCAUCUCCUGCCAACUUGUGGUCUCCGUCAUUUUACAGCUAGGUAAUGCUCAUAAAUCCCAUGGUUGAAAGCUCUGAGUUUUUGACAGGGUGUUGUGUUUGAAUCGGAGCAAGAAUUCUACUUCUUUACGUUUGUCGAUUUGGCCCAGAAGUUAUUUGAGUUAUUCUUGGAAAAUCCAGACGCCCUAUCGCUACAGUGACCCCUUCCCCUUUUUGCGAAUAUGUAGCGCGUUGUUUGGAUUUGUCGGAUGAAAUGACCUGAGAUUUUAUAGAUGUGUUAUUGAGUAUUAUUUGGGACAGGUCUGGAGGCAUUUCUCCACCUAAAGGCGGAUUUGUGCCCUUUCCAGUGUGAGCGUAACCUUAGCACCGGAAAUCGCCAAUUGUAUAGAGCGUUUUUGCUGUGAGGGGGGUUUGAAAUAGUUGUAGUGCUAAUUCAGGAAUUGUUUUCCAUUUUUACGUUUAGUGUUCUUGGACUAUGCGCAGGUUACAGGUUAGUUUGGUGCAUGACUCGAGCUUCUGCGAAGAAAGUGCUACCAUACGAGCCAGAAAUUAAAAAACUACUACAAUAGCUGAGGAAGGAAAGAAAUCUCACCGAGACAUCAGGAAAGGUUGGGCAAUCCUCAACAAAAGAAGAUAUGGCUGGAACCGGUGAUGAUAAUACAGAUUUGGUUGCGAGAGAAGUAGCCCAACGACGAGAACAAGUUGCACGGGAUGCUGAAGAAGCAACUAUAAGAGAUGCAGACCAGUUUGGAAAUAUAGCUCCCAUUCCUGGGAGACCACUUAGCGAUUAUACUAGACCAGUCUACAAUCAAGGAUUAUCAAGUGUUAGACCACCUCCAAUUGCAGCAAACAAUUUCAAGUUAAAGCAAAGGUUUCUUCAAACCCUUCUGAAUUGUUGUGCCUUCAGAAGGAAGCCAAACGAAGAUCCAAACACAUAUCUAAUGGACUUUGAGGAGAUUAUGAACACCUUUCAAUACAAUGGUGUGUCACAAGAUGUAGUGUAUCUAAGGGUAUUCCCCUUUUUCCUUAAAUAUGAUGCAAAGUAGUGGCUUCGAAGCUUACCCACAGAAUCAAUUAGAACAUGGGAGGAGAAGACCAAAAAAUUCCUUGAUAAGUAUUUCUCAUUAGGCAAGACGGGCAAAUUUAGAAGAGAAAUCCAUAAUAUCUUCCAUAAAGAGAAUGAAACUGUUUUUGAAGAAUGGGAGAGGUUUAAGGAGAUUGUUACAAAGUGUCAACAUAGUGGAAUUGAACUCUGGAUGCAACUACUAAUUAAAUCAGUAGAUGUUGUAUUAGACAAAUGUGUUGCACAAACAUUACUUGAAGAUGCCAAGUUUGUUGUUGUAGGGAUUGGUUGAGCUUGAGUAGUAGGAGUUGGUGCAACUUCCUUCUCCUUAUCAAUAUAAAGUUGCUCGACUAACGUUAGGCCAGUUGAAAUACCAGGAACUCCAUGGGCAGUCAGUGAAACACUCAAAUUUUCCACCAUUGGUCGAGCAUCAAUGAUAUCAACUGGAGUUCGAAACUGGACAUGUGGGCGACCAUCAGCAACAUAUGGAGGAUGUUUUCGACCAAUUGAGUCUCAAUUGGGUUUGUCGUGCUGGUUUCGACAUUUUGUCGACCACCUUCUGUGGGCGGAUUAGAAGAGUUUAUUGCAUCGAUUGUAAUGGGGUUUGGCACAAUGAGGUAUUAUUUUUGUUGCUCGGCAAUCAUUUCCAAACUUGCAGAUACCAUUUCACAUUGAUUUUGUUCCAAUUCGACAUCUUAUUCAUCAUCUCUUUCCAGCAUGUGCUCUUCGUGGUUUUGCAGCUGGGUGAUGCUCACAAAUCCCUUGGUUGAAAGCUCUGAGUUUUUGGUGGGUUGUUGUUUUAAUUGGAGGAAGAAUUCCAGUUCUUUGUGUUUGUCGAUUUGGCCCAGAAGUUAUCUGAGUUAUUCUUGGAGAAUCCAGACGCCCUAUCGCUACAGUGACUCUUCCCCUUUUUGCGAAUCUAUAGCGCGUUGUAUGGAUUUGUCAGAGGAAAUGAACUGAGAUUUGGUAGAUGUGUUAUUGAGUAUUAUUUGAGACAGGUCUGGAGGAAUUUCUCCACCUAAAGGCGGAUUUGUACCCAUUCCAGUGUGAGCAUAACCUUAGCGCCGGAAAUCACCAAUUGUAGAGGGCGUUUUUACUGUCGGGGGGUGGGGGGUGGUUUGAAAUAGUUUGUAGUGCUAAUUGAGGAAUGUUUUAUCCCUUUUUACGUUUAGUGUUCUUGGACUGUACGCAGGUUACAGGUUAGAUAGGUGCAUGACUCGAGCUUAUGCGAAGGAAGGGCUACCAUACGAGCAAGAUAUUGAAAAAUGGCUAUGAUAGUUGAGAAAGGAAAGAAAUCUCACAGAUACAUCAGGAAAGGUUGGGCAAUCCUCAACCAAAGAAGAUAUGGCUGGAACCGGUGAUGAUAAUGUAGAUUUGGCUAUGCGAGAAGCAUCCCAACGAUAAGAACAAGUUGCACGGGAUGUUGAAGAAGCAACUAUUAGAGAUGCACAUAUUAUCUAUGAAGAAGAGAGGGGU